rnacentral:rRNA from 1 species
UGCGUAGGCGGUUUAUUAAGUCAGAUGUGAAAGCCCCGGGCUUAACCUGGGAACUGCAUUUGAUACUGGUAGACUAGAGUAUGGUAGAGGGGGGUAGAAUUCCUAGUGUAGCGGUGAAAUGCGUAGAUAUAGGGGGAAUACCAGUGGCGAAGGCGGCCCCCUGGACCAAUACUGACGCUGAGGUACGAAAGCGUGGGUAGCGAACA